rnacentral:rRNA from 1 species
AUGUACAUGCCUACAACAUAGUGUCAAUGCAUCAAAUCCCAGUAGAACUCCACAGUUAAGCGUGCUCGGUCUAGAGUAGUACUAGAAUGGGUGACCACUUGGGAAGUACUAUUAUUUUACAUU